AUUGAACGCUGGCGGCAGGCCUAACACAUGCAAGUCGAACGAGUGGCGGACGGGUGAGUAAUGUCUGGGAAACUGCCCGAUGGAGGGGGAUAACUACUGGAAACGGUAGCUAAUACCGCAUACCAUCGGAUGUGCCCAGAUGGGAUUAGCGAGUAGGGGGGGUAACGGCUCACCUAGGCGACGAUCCCUAGUUGGUCUGAGAGGAUGACCAGCCAAACGUGAACUGAGACAAGGUCCAGACUCUUACGGGAGGCAGCAGUGGGGAAUAUGGCAAAAUGGGCGCAAGCCUGAUGCAGCCAUGCCGGGUGGAUGAAGAAGGCCUUUGGGUUGUAAAGUACUUUCAGCGAGGAUGCGUUACUCGCAGAAGAAGCACCGGCUAACUCCGUGCCAGCAGCCGCGGUAAUAC
rnacentral:rRNA from 1 species